AGUGAACGCUGGCGGUAGGCCUAACACAUGCAAGUCGAACGGCAGCACAGUAAGAGCUUGCUCUUACGGGUGGCGAGUGGCGGACGGGUGAGGAAUACAUCGGAAUCUACUUUUUCGUGGGGGAUAACGUAGGGAAACUUACGCUAAUACCGCAUACGACCUACGGGUGAAAGCAGGGGAUCUUCGGACCUUGCGCGAUUGAAUGAGCCGAUGUCGGAUUAGCUAGUUGGCGGGGUAAAGGCCCACCAAGGCGACGAUCCGUAGCUGGUCUGAGAGGAUGAUCAGCCACACUGGAACUGAGACACGGUCCAGACUCCUACGGGAGGCAGCAGUGGGGAAUAUUGGACAAUGGGCGCAAGCCUGAUCCAGCCAUACCGCGUGGGUGAAGAAGGCCUUCGGGUUGUAAAGCCCUUUUGUUGGGAAAGAAAAGCAGCAGGUUAAUACCCCGCUGUCCUGACGGUACCCAAAGAGUAAGCACCGGCUAACUUCGUG
rnacentral:rRNA from 1 species